UCUAACACUAUUUACUAAUUACAACUUUUUAUAUUGUGUCAGAGGCAGAGGAGACACAUCAACCAGCAAGUGUGUAACUUAUCAGGAAAAUGACUGACUGAAUGGAUGACUGUCUAGGUUGCAAGCGGGACAUACAUGUUACAGUUAAGUAUUUCAGCUACAACAUAUUGUUAAAUCACAGUAACCAUCUUGCCAUUAGUUGUAACUUCACAGUAAAAUAUAGUUAAUUCUACAAGAGAAUACGGUGAAAUCACAGAAAUGAGCCUUACUAUACACCUUGAAGUCACAUAUGGCUGUAAUUUCACUGUAAGUAAGUGUAAAACAAAUCACAGUGGCUUACUGUGAAAGUAAUACAGUUAUUAGUCAGUAAUUUACUGUUAAUGAAGGGGCAAAUAUUUUACAAUGUAUAAGUAAAACUCAUGUAUACAUUUUGUCUGUCAUUCUGUUUUUUAAGGUGAGUGCUGAAUUUGAGAGAGAUGCCACUGUGCAUUGUGGAUCUUCACAGCUGCUGAGGAGCUCUUGGAGUAAGACAGAGAUCUGAGACUAAAGUUGGACAAUGAAGAACCGACAGGAUCUGAACGGCUUGUGAUGGCAGAAAUGUUGACGUAAACAGGGACCUUCUACAAGUGACCGCCUGAAGAUACUGGCAUCAUCAUCAUCAUCAUCAUCAUCAUCAUUGAAGGUGUUAAAGUUCUUAUAGACCUCAUCUUUACCAGACUCAGGCAAACUCUGCUUUCACUCCGCCCAAAGCCCCAGCUGAACGGUUUUGGCCCAGUGUAUCCGAUCAGGCCCGGGAAGUGACUGUGGAAACUUGACUGGCCCUGGCUCGCAUUGGCACGACUCUUGACUACAUUCCCAGAGCUUUUGUCCACCUGGGUUUGACCUAUGCAUUUUAACUGUGACAAAGAAUGGUGUUUUUACAAUAGACUGUCUGGUUAACGCUGGAAGAUAUUAGAGGGUAGUAUUCCCUCUACUGUGGUGUCCUCUUUGCUUCAAUGAAUCUGCAUUAUUCUGGCAAAUAAUACCUUUCAUGCAUUAAAUCACAUAAAUUUCACUCUAAGUCUAUUGUUUUAAAUAAUAUUGUUUAAUGUCCAGUUGUUUGAAACUGCUGUUUAAAAAAAGAUGAUCAAAGUCCUUGUUAAGAUGAUCAGUUUGUUUAAAUGUACAUGUUUUAUUGUGUAUUAUAUGAUGUAUUGUCUAUUGUGAGAUUGUUGUUACUCUGUAUUGUGGCUUCACACUGCUGAACAGGCUCCACUAAUUUGAGCUAAAUUUAAUUAAAUUUUACUCAAUCCA